UUUAUGGAGAGUUUGAUCCUGGCUCAGGAUGAACGCUGGCGGCGUGCCUAAUACAUGCAAGUCGAGCGAACGGACGAGAAGCUUGCUUCUCUGAUGUUAGCGGCGGACGGGUGAGUAACACGUGGAUAACCUACCUAUAAGACUGGGAUAACUUCGGGAAACCGGAGCUAAUACCGGAUAAUAUUUUGAACCGCAUGGUUCAAAAGUGAAAGACGGUCUUGCUGUCACUUAUAGAUGGAUCCGCGCUGCAUUAGCUAGUUGGUAAGGUAACGGCUUACCAAGGCAACGAUGCAUAGCCGACCUGAGAGGGUGAUCGGCCACACUGGAACUGAGACACGGUCCAGACUCCUACGGGAGGCAGCAGUAGGGAAUCUUCCGCAAUGGGCGAAAGCCUGACGGAGCAACGCCGCGUGAGUGAUGAAGGUCUUCGGAUCGUAAAACUCUGUUAUUAGGGAAGAACAUAUGUGUAAGUAACUGUGCACAUCUUGACGGUACCUAAUCAGAAAGCCACGGCUAACUACGUGCCAGCAGCCGCGGUAAUACGUAGGUGGCAAGCGUUAUCCGGAAUUAUUGGGCGUAAAGCGCGCGUAGGCGGUUUUUUAAGUCUGAUGUGAAAGCCCACGGCUCAACCGUGGAGGGUCAUUGGAAACUGGAAAACUUGAGUGCAGAAGAGGAAAGUGGAAUUCCAUGUGUAGCGGUGAAAUGCGCAGAGAUAUGGAGGAACACCAGUGGCGAAGGCGACUUUCUGGUCUGUAACUGACGCUGAUGUGCGAAAGCGUGGGGAUCAAACAGGAUUAGAUACCCUGGUAGUCCACGCCGUAAACGAUGAGUGCUAAGUGUUAGGGGGUUUCCGCCCCUUAGUGCUGCAGCUAACGCAUUAAGCACUCCGCCUGGGGAGUACGACCGCAAGGUUGAAACUCAAAGGAAUUGACGGGGACCCGCACAAGCGGUGGAGCAUGUGGUUUAAUUCGAAGCAACGCGAAGAACCUUACCAAAUCUUGACAUCCUUUGACAACUCUAGAGAUAGAGCCUUCCCCUUCGGGGGACAAAGUGACAGGUGGUGCAUGGUUGUCGUCAGCUCGUGUCGUGAGAUGUUGGGUUAAGUCCCGCAACGAGCGCAACCCUUAAGCUUAGUUGCCAUCAUUAAGUUGGGCACUCUAAGAUGACUGCCGGUGACAAACCGGAGGAAGGUGGGGAUGACGUCAAAUCAUCAUGCCCCUUAUGAUUUGGGCUACACACGUGCUACAAUGGACAAUACAAAGGGUAGCGAAACCGCGAGGUCAAGCAAAUCCCAUAAAGUUGUUCUCAGUUCGGAUUGUAGUCUGCAACUCGACUACAUGAAGCUGGAAUCGCUAGUAAUCGUAGAUCAGCAUGCUACGGUGAAUACGUUCCCGGGUCUUGUACACACCGCCCGUCACACCACGAGAGUUUGUAACACCCGAAGCCGGUGGAGUAACCUUUUAGGAGCUAGCCGUCGAAGGUGGGACAAAUGAUUGGGGUGAAGUCGUAACAAGGUAGCCGUAUCGGAAGGUGC
rnacentral:rRNA from 1 species